AUUGAACGCUGGCGGCAGGCCUAACACAUGCAAGUCGAGCGAACCUAGCUUGCUAGGUGAGCGGCGAACGGGUGAGUAACGCGUAGGAAUCUGCCUGAUAGUGGGGGACAACGUUCCGAAAGGAACGCUAAUACCGCAUACGCCCUACGGGGGAAAGCAGGGGAUCUUCGGACCUUGCGCUAGCAGAUGAGCCUGCGUCGGAUGAGCUAGUUGGUAGGGUAGAGGCCUACCAAGGCGACGAUCCGUAACUGGUCUGAGAGGAUGAUCAGUCACACCGGAACUGAGACACGGUCCGGACUCCUACGGGAGGCAGCAGUGGGGAAUAUUGGACAAUGGGGGCAACCCUGAUCCAGCCAUGCCGCGUGUGUGAAGAAGGCCUUCGGGUUGUAAAGCACUUUAGGUCGGGAGGAAGGUUCGCUGGCUAAUAUCCAGCGGAAUUGACGUUACCGACAGAAUAAGCACCGGCUAACUCCGUGCCAGCCGCCGCCGUAA
rnacentral:rRNA from 1 species